rnacentral:rRNA from 1 species
UACGUAGGGAGCAAGCGUUGUCCGGAAUCAUUGGGCGUAAAGAGCGCGUAGGCGGCCCUGUAAGUCCGUUCUGAAAGUCGGAGGCUCAACCUCCGAAAGCGGAUGGAUACUGCAGGGCUAGAGUCCGGAAGAGGCGAGUGGAAUUCCUGGUGUAGCGGUGGAAUGCGCAGAUAUCAGGAGGAACACCAACGGCGAAGGCAGCUCGCUGGGACGGUACUGACGCUGAGGCGCGAAAGCGUGGGGAGCGAACAGG